rnacentral:rRNA from 1 species
GAAUUUUGGACAAUGGGGGCAACCCCGAUCCAGCCAUGCCGCGUGCGGGAAGAAGGCCUUCGGGUUGUAAACCGCUUUUGUCGGGGAAGAAACGCUCAGGGCUAAUACCCUUGAGUAAUGACGGUACCCGACGAAUAAGCACCGGCUACCUACGUGCCAGCAGCCGCGGUAAUACGUAGGGUGCAAGCGUUAAUCGGAAUUAAUGGGCGGAAGGCGGGCGCAGGCGGUCUUGCAAGACAGAUGUGAAAUCCCCGGGCUUAACCUGGGAACUGCAUUUGUGACUGCAAGGCUGGAGUGCGGCAGAGGGGGAUGGAAUUCCGCGUGUAGCAGUGAAAUGCGUAGAUAUGCGGAGGAACACCGAUGGCGAAGGCAAUCCCCUGGGCCUGCACUGACGCUCAUGCACGAAAGCGUGGGGAGCAAACAGG